rnacentral:rRNA from 1 species
GCUUAACACAUGCAAGUCGAGGGGCAGCAUGGUCUUAGCUUGCUAAGGCCGAUGGCGACCGGCGCACGGGUGAGUAACACGUAUCCAACCUGCCGUCUACUCUUGGACAGCCUUCUGAAAGGAAGAUUAAUACAAGAUGGCAUCAUGAGUCCGCAUGUUCACAUGAUUAAAGGUAUUCCGGUAGACGAUGGGGAUGCGUUCCAUUACAUAGUAGGCGGGGUAACGGCCCACCUAGUCUUCGAUGGAUAGGGGUUCUGAGAGGAAGGUCCCCCACAUUGGAACUGAGACACGGUCCAAACUCCUACGGGAGGCAGCAGCGAGGAAUAUUGGUCAAUGGGCGAGAGCCUGAACCAGCCAAGUAGCGUGAAGGAUGACUGCCCUAUGGGUUGUAAACUUCUUUUAUAAAGGAAUAAAGUCGGGUAUGGAUACCCGUUUGCAUGUACUUUAUGAAUAAGGAUCGGCUAACUCCGUGCCAGCAGCCGCGGUAAUACGGAGGAUCCGAGCGUUAUCCGGAUUUAUUGGGUUUAAAGGGAGCGUACAUGGGUGUUUAAGUCAGUUGUGAAAGUUUGCGGCUCAACCGUAAAAUUGCAGUUGAUACUGGAUAUCUUGAGUGCAGUUGAGGCAGGCGGAAUUCGUGGUGUAGCGGUGAAAUGCUUAGAUAUCACGAAGAACUCCGAUUGCGAAGGCAGCCUGCUAAGCUGCAACUGACAUUGAGGCUCGAAAGUGUGGGUAUCAAACAGGAUUAGAUACCCUGGUAGUCCACACGGUAAACGAUGAAUACUCGCUGUUUGCGAUAUACUGCAAGCGGCCAAGCGAAAGCGUUAAGUAUUCCACGUGGGGAGUACGCCGGCAUCGGUGAAACUCAAAGGAAUUGACGGGGGCCCGCACAAGCGGAGGAACAUGUGGUUUAAUUCGAUGAUACGCGAGGAACCUUACCCGGGCUUAAAUUGCAGAUGAAUUACGGUGAAAGCCGUAAGCCGCAAGGCAUCUGUGAAGGUGCUGCAUGGUUGUCGUCAGCUCGUGCCGUGAGGUGUCGGCUUAAGUGCCAUAACGAGCGCAACCCUUGUUGUCAGUUACUAACAGGUCAUGUUGAGGACUCUGACAAGACUGCCAUCGUAAGAUGUGAGGAAGGUGGGGAUGACGUCAAAUCAGCACGGCCCUUACGUCCGGGGCUACACACGUGUUACAAUGGGGGGUACAGAGGGCCGCUACCACGCGAGUGGAUGCCAAUCCCAAAAACCUCUCUCAGUUCGGACUGGAGUCUGCAACCCGACUCCACGAAGCUGGAUUCGCUAGUAAUCGCGCAUCAGCCACGGCGCGGUGAAUACGUUCCCGGGCCUUGUACACACCGCCCGUCAAGCCAUGGGAGCCGGGGGUACCUGAAGUGCGUAACCGCGAGGAGCGCCCUAGGGUAAAACUGGUGACUGGGGCUAAGUC